GUCCCGGGUAAGGCUGCGACUCCAGGAUUCUCCAUCGGAGUGACAGGUGUCCCGGGAAAAGUCCCUGUUGCCACCGAGGCUCCCGGGACGCGCACGGUGAUCACACGAGGAGAGAGACAGAGGAAGGAGGGAGGGAUGGAUUGAGGAUGGCCAGUUUCUCCCUCCCUGCCGAGUCCAGCUGAAGCUCCGGGAAGUGCCCUCCGAGCCGGGUGCUGGACCGUGCAUGCGCAGCCGCGGGCACUGAGCGCUCCUGAAUGCCAGGCCGUCUUCCCGGCGCUCGGGAUCCGCAGUGAGGGGCGGACGUGCAUGGAGCCCGCGAGGGGUAGCAGCCCCAGGUGUCCUGGGUAAGGCUGCGCGUCCAGGAUUCUCCAUCGGAGUGACAGGUGUCCCGGGUAAGGCUGGGUGUCCAGGAUUCUCCAUCGGAGUGACAGGCGUCCCGGGUAAGGCUGCGCGUCCAGGAUUCUCCAUUGGAGUGACAGGUGUCCCGGGUAAGGCUGGGUGUCCAGGAUUCUCCGUCGGAGUGACAGGCGUCCUGGGUAAGGCUGCGACUCCAGGAUUCUCCGUCGGAGUGACAGGCGUCCCGGGUAAGGCUGCGACUCCAGGAUUCUCCGUCGGAGUGACAGGCGUCCCGGGUAAGGCUGCGACUCCAGGAUUCUCCGUCGGAGUGACAGGCGUCCCGGGUAAGGCUGCGACUCCAGGAUUCUCCAUCGGAGUGACAGGUGUCCCGGGUAAGGCUGCGACUCCAGGAUUCUCCAUCGGAGUGACAGGCGUCCCGGGUAAGGCUGCGCGUCCAGGAUUCUCCAUUGGAGUGACUGGUGUCCUGGGUAAGGCUGUGUGCCGGGGCUAGAGGUCCCGGUCAGCCCCGGCCGCCGUGACAACGGACCUCAGAGGAGCUGAAAACACCAGGCUUUCAUUUAUCAGCCUGGAGACUGGAAGUCCAGGAUCACAGUGCCAGCUUAGUCGGACUCUGGGCCUUGGGCUCUGAUGCCGUCUUUACCGCACUCCCGCAUGGCGGAAAGAGAGUCAGGCGGCUCUCCAGGGUCCAGUCCAACACGAGGGCUCCAGCCUGACCUCACCACAUCCGGGAGGCCUCCCAUCCCGACACCAGCACCUUGGGGUUGGGUUUCAACUUACGAAUAUUGGAGAAUCCAGGGAAGAUCACUUGACUAAGAGGCAGGAGACCACAGGGGAGUGUUGGUUCCUCCCCAGGUGACCCUGGAGACGUCCUCAAAGCGCUCUGGGUCUCCAUCUUCUUGAAGUCGGCCUGCCCUUCAGGCCUCUUCGUCUGAGCUCCCCCCACCCUCCAUGGCUGCAGUACUCGCUGGUCGCCCUGGGUGCCAGCCUCCGGGAGCAGAGUGAGGACAUGGUCUCCAGUCCUAUUGCUCCUCCUCUGCGCUUGGCGCAGAUGACCUGCGUACUGCUCCCCCCAGGCACCUCUGGGGUCGAGGUUACCUUAUCUCAGUGUGUGUGACAAGAGCAGCCCUCCAGCCCAGGGGCAGCAGGACAGAGGCUCAGCUAGGCCACCACGGAGCUGGGUCAGGUCGGAGGCACUUUGCAAAACCUCUGUCCAAUUCUCCAGUUUCUUUGAUUUGCUGUUGAGUGAACUCUUUGUUUGUUUUUUGUUUUUGAGAUGGAGUUUCUCUCUUGUUGCCUAGGCUGGAGUGCAAUGGCACAAUCUUGGCUUACUGCAACCUCUGCCUCCCAGGUUCCAACGAUUCUCCAGUCUCAAACUCCCAAGUAGCUGGGAUUACAGGCGCAUGCCGCCACUCCUGGCUAAUUUUUGUGUUUUUAGUAGGGACGGGUUUCAUCAUAUUGGUAAGGCUGGUUUUGAACUCCUGACCUCAGGUGAUCCACACACCUUAGCCUCCCAAAGUGCUGGGAUUACAGGCGUGGGUCACCACGCCCGGCCAUGAAUUCUUUUUACUUAAAAGCGAAUAGGAUUUUAUUUUCCUCUUUUCUUACCAUCUUUGAUACAUUUUUUCAAAGCAAAAUUUAUUUCUAAGGUGUAUUUCUUCUCCCUUGAUUUCUCUUUCUCCUCCCCAUAUUUGUUUCAUAUCCAGUCAAUAUUUAUUGAGCCUUUUCUCUUUGCCUGGCAUAUAAAGGUUAUUAAGAAAAUGUUCAUGAUCUCAAAAAAACAAAACAAAACAAAACAAAACCCAGUUAUUAGCAAGGGAGAGAGACAGGUUGAAAUCACUGUGGAUUAAUUCAUGGUAAACACGACCUAGAAUACUUUCUCCUACCAACCCCACUGUAUCCUCUGGGAUAUACAACACCCGUGGAUAUAGAUAAACCUGGUAAAAACAAACAAACACAAAAAGCAAACAAGAGCUUGUUGAGGCAUACUAUUUGCAAAGUAUUGUGUUAUGUGAGUGUUGUACUUUAUAUCAUUUGUUUAUCUGUUUUUCCUUUUUCUCUCUCUCUCUUUUUUUUUUUUUGCCUUCAUUUGAGUUAAUUGGUUGUUUAGUAGUUGAUCUAGGGUUUAAAUAAACUGUGUUUAAAUGGUCGCAUUCUACCUUCAGAUAGUAUCAUACAAUUUUAUGCAUACUGUAAGAUCCUUACAAAAUGUUUCCAUUUCUGUCUCAUCUUCUGUGCUAUCAUCCUUUGUUUUACUUCUACUUGUGUUAUAAACCCACAGUAUGUUACUAUUAUUAUUUCAGUUGUCAAUUGCAUUAUAAAAAUAUUUAAGAAAAAAUUCUUAAUUUCCCAAUAGUCACCAUUUUUUAUUCCUUUGUGUAGAUUCAAGUUACCAGCUGAUAAUACUUUCUUUUUUUUUUUAAUUAAUUUAUUAUUAUUAUACUUUAAGUUGUAGGGUACAUGUGCAUAACGUGCAGGUUUGUUACAUAUGUAUACUUGUGCCAUGUUGGUGUGCUGCACCCAUCAACUCGUCAUUUACAUCAGGUAUAACUCCCAAUGCAAUCCCUCCCCCCUCCCC
ensembl:lncRNA